rnacentral:rRNA from 1 species
GUUACUGGGCGUAAAGACGCAUGCAGGUGGUUUGUUUAAGUUACAGAUGUGAAAGACCCGGGGCCGUCAACCUACCGGAAGUUAGCAUUUGUAAACUAGGCAGACUAGAGUACUGUAGAGGGGGGUAGGAAUUUCAGGUGUAGCGGUGAAAUAGCGUAGAGAUCUGAAGGAAUACCGGUGGCGAAGGCGGCCCCCUCGGACAGAUACUGACACUCAGAUGCGAAAGCGUGGGGAGCAAACAGGAUUAGAUACCCCUGGUAG